rnacentral:rRNA from 1 species
AGUGAACGCUGGCGGUAGGCCUAACACAUGCAAGUCGAACGGCAGCACAGUAAGAGCUUGCUCUUACGGGUGGCGCGUGGCGGACGGGUGAGGAAUACAUCGGAAUCUACUUUUUCGUGGGGGAUAACGUAGGGAAACUUACGCUAAUACCGCAUACGACCUACGGGUGAAAGCAGGGGAUCUUCGGACCUUGCGCGAUUGAAUGAGCCGAUGUCGGAUUAGCUAGUUGGCGGGGUAAAGGCCCACCAAGGCGACGAUCCGUAGCUGGUCUGAGAGGAUGAUCAGACACACUGGAACUGAGACACGUUCCAGACUCCUACGGGAGGCAGCAGUGGGGAAUAUUGGACAAUGGGCGCAAGCCUGAUCCAGCCAUACCGCGUGGGUGAAGAAGGCCUUCGGGUUGUAAAGCCCUUUUGUUGGGAAAGAAAAGCAGCAGGUUAAUACCCCGCUGUUCUGACGGUACCCAAAGAAUAAGCACCGGCUAACUUCGUG